rnacentral:rRNA from 1 species
UACGUAGGGCGCAAGCGUUGUCCGGAAUUACUGGGCGUAAAGGGCGCGUAGGCGGUUCGUACAGUCAGACGUGAAAUUCCUGGGCUCAACCUGGGGGCUGCGUUUGAUACGUGCGGACUUGAGUGCGGAAGAGGGUCGUGGAAUUCCCAGUGUAGAGGUGAAAUUCGUAGAUAUUGGGAAGAACACCGGUGGCGAAGGCGGCGACCUGGUCCGAUACUGACGCUGAGGCGCGAAAGCGUGGGGAGCAAACAGG